GACGGACGCUGGCGGCGUGCCUAAUACAUGCAAGUAGAACGCUGAAGGAGGAGCUUGCUCUUCUGGAUGAGUUGCGAACGGGUGAGUAACGCGUAGGUAACCUGCCUGGUAGCGGGGGAUAACUAUUGGAAACGAUAGCUAAUACCGCAUAAUAGUAGAUGUUGCAUGACAUUUGCUUAAAAGGUGCAAAUGCAUCACUACCAGAUGGACCUGCGUUGUAUUAGCUAGUUGGUGGGGUAACGGCUCACCAAGGCGACGAUACAUAGCCGACCUGAGAGGGUGAUCAGCCACACUGGGACUGAGACACGGCCCAGACUCCUACGGGAGGCAGCAGUAGGGAAUCUUCGGCAAUGGACGGAAGUCUGACCGAGCAACGCCGCGUGAGUGAAGAAGGUUUUCGGAUCGUAAAGCUCUGUUGUAAGAGAAGAACGAGUGUGAGAGUGGAAAGUUCAUACUGUGACGGUAUCUUACCAGAAAGGGACGGCUAACUACGUGCCAGCAGCCGCGGUAAUA
rnacentral:rRNA from 1 species